CCUACGGGUGGUAGCAGUGGGGAAUAUUGGGCAAUGGGCGCAAGCCUGACCCAGCAACGCCGCGUGAAGGAAGAAGGCUUUCGGGUUGUAAACUUCUUUUAAGAGGGAAGAGCAGAAGACGGUACCUCUUGAAUAAGCCACGGCUAACUACGUGCCAGCAGCCGCGGUAAUACGUAGGUGGCAAUCGUUGUCCGGAUUUACUGGGUGUAAAGGGAGCGUAGGCGGUUUAGCAAGUCAGAAGUGAAAGCCCGGGGCUCAACUCCGGGACUGCUUUUGAAACUGUUGAACUAGAUUGCAGGAGAGGUAAGUGGAAUUCCUAGUGUAGCGGUGAAAUGCGUAGAUAUUAGGAGGAACACCAGUGGCGAAGGCGGCUUACUGGACUGUAAAUGACGCUGAGGCUCGAAAGCGUGGGUAUCGAACAGGAUUAGAUACCCCUGUAGUC
rnacentral:rRNA from 1 species